rnacentral:snoRNA from 1 species
UGGAAAUUAUUAGAUACACAGUUAUUUAAAGUUAUUGAUAGCUGUCACAGUAAUUUCCUACAAUAAAAAGACUUUCUGAUGACUACAGUUCUUUUAGUCUAAACUGUAGACAGAUACGAAGUCAACAGCU